UACGAAGGGUGCAAGCGUUACUCGGAAUUACUGGGCGUAAAGCGUGCGUAGGUGGUUUGUUAAGUCUGCUGUGAAAGCCCGGGCUCAACCUGGGAAUGGCAGUGGAUACUGGCAAGCUAGAGUGCGAUAGAGGGGUGUGGAAUUCCCGGUGUAGCGGUGAAAUGCGUAGAGAUCGGGAGGAACACCAGUGGCGAAGGCGGCACCCUGGAUCAGCACUGACACUCAGGCACGAAAGCGUGGGGAGCAAACAG
rnacentral:rRNA from 1 species